rnacentral:rRNA from 1 species
GACGAACGCUGGCGGCGUGCUUAACACAUGCAAGUCGAACGGAAAGGCCCUGCUUGCAGGGUACUCGAGUGGCGAACGGGUGAGUAACACGUGGGUGAUCUGCCCUGCACUUCGGGAUAAGCCUGGGAAACUGGGUCUAAUACCGGAUAGGAGCCAUUUUUAGUGUGAUGGUUGGAAAGUUUUUUUCGGUGUAGGAUGAGCUCGCGGCCUAUCAGCUUGUUGGUGGGGUAAUGGCCUACCAAGGCGGCGACGGGUAGCCGGCCUGAGAGGGUGGACGGCCACAUUGGGACUGAGAUACGGCCCAGACUCCUACGGGAGGCAGCAGUGGGGAAUAUUGCACAAUGGGCGCAAGCCUGAUGCAGCGACGCCGCGUGGGGGAUGACGGCCUUCGGGUUGUAAACUCCUUUCGCUAGGGACGAGGCUUUUUGUGACGGUACCUAGAUAAGAAGCACCGGCUAACUACGUG